rnacentral:rRNA from 1 species
CUCUCAGAUUGAACGUGGCGGCAGGCCUAAMUGCAGUCGAGCGGUAGCACAGAGAGCUUGCUCUCGGGUGACGAGCGGCGGACGGGUGAGUAAYGUCUGGGAAACUGCSUGAUGGAGGGGGAUAACUACUGGAAACGGUAGCUAAUACCGCAUAACGUCGCAAGACCAAAGUGGGGGACCUUYGGGCCUCAUGCCAUMAGAUGUGCCCAGAUGGGAUUCACCUAGGCGACGAUCCCUAGCUGGUCUGAGAGGAUGACCAGCCACACKGGAAYUGAGACACGGUCCAGAYUCCUACGGGAGGCAGCAGUGGGGAAUAUUGCACAAUGGGCGCAAGCCUGAUGCASCCAUGCCGCGUGUAUGAAGAAGGCCUUCGGGUUGUAAAGUACUUUCAGCGAGGAGGAAGGCGUUAAGGUUAAUAACCUUGGYGAUUGACGUUACUCGCAGAAGAAGCACCGGCUAACUCCGUGCCAGCAGCCGCGGUAAUACGGAGGGUGCAAGCGUUAAUCGGAAUUACUGGGCGUAAAGCGCACGCAGGCGGUCUGUCAAGUCGGAUGUGAAAUCCCCGGGCUCAACCUGGGAACUGCAUUCGAAACUGGCAGGCUAGAGUCUUGUAGAGGGGGGUAGAAUUCCAGGUGUAGCGGUGAAAUGCGUAGAGAUCUGGAGGAAUACCGGUGGCGAARGCGGCCYCCUGGACAAAGACUGACGCUCAGUGCGAAAGCGUGGGGAGCGACAGGUG